CUGACGUUUCAUUGUGUUUGAAAUUUUCAUGCUUUAAACAAGUCGCUCUGUUUCUGCUGCUACUUUUUCAUUUAUAAUCAGUUAAUUUGCAAGUAAACGCAGAAAAUUUGGUGAACAUGUGAAAAAAAAGCUUGCUGCUCUUCCCGCUGGCCCUGCGGAAGGCUAAUUUGGCUGAGAUUUUACAAGUUAGCCAUCUCCUAGUGGACUGAAUCAACUGGAACCGGCCCUCAAUGUUCUCCACCGUGAAAUCGUUUUGUUUCUUCGAAACAGGUUCAUCAAUCAACUCGGGAGUGCGAGAGCUCGAGCCUCGUUGCCGAGCCAUGGAUGGCGCCGCGAAAGUUCUAAAUUCUUGAAUAUUCCGCCCUGAAGGAUGCCCAACACAGGAAAAGAAAAUAAUUUGGAAAUAAAUAAUGCUGUGUGGAAACGC
rnacentral:lncRNA from 1 species